GGACUCGUAGCUCAAUUGGAUAGAGCAGCGGUUUACGGAGCCGCAGGUUGCAGGUUCGAGCCCUGCCGAGUUCA
rnacentral:tRNA from 1 species